GCCAGGAGGCAUGCUGUGAGCUGGUCCAUCAGCUGGGCACCUUAAGAAGGAAGCAUCCUGCUAGGUGAGCUGAGGCUGGCGGGAGCUUGGCUGUGAUCAGCCCAGUUCCCCAGCCCUCAUUGCUGGCCCCAGCUCACCAUGUAGGACCUGCCGGCCUCCUUGAGUGGCUUGUAGGUGACAGGCACGUUCAGGAGCAUAUAGGACAGAGGCUCUGCUUUCCUGCUCUGCUGAGGCUCUGGCCUGGACAGGUGUAACUGCUCUCCAGGGAUGCAGCUGUGAAAGAGGCGAGGACUCAGCUCACUCCAGAGCCGACGGAACUCAGAGAAGCAGAGUCGCCGGACCAAGCACUGCCCAAGAAGAGGGAUGGGGACCAGGCGGUGCCGGGCUACGGUGGUCCUCCGGGUGCCAUAAAUGCUAAAAUCACCCAUCUCCUGUAAUCCUGCAUCUGUGCUCUCAAGAGUGAGAUGGUUAAGUUCACCGCUUUGUGGAGCUGGCUGCGGAUGGCUUCUGUGUGGUCCUCUGUCCCGGGAGAAGAUAGAGCGCAGGCUGAUGGGAAGGCUCAGCCGGUGAAGACACUCGCUUCCACACCUGUGGCCUGAGUGCAAUCCUGGUGAGCUUCAUGGUGGAAGCAGAGAACUGAGGCCAUAAGGAGUCCUCUGACUGCUACAUCUGUGCCUCGCACACUCUCCCAGUAACUAAAACUGUCAUUAAAACCUUAAAAGGGGCUGGAGGGAUGGCUCAGCGGUUAAGAGCACUGCCCGCUCUUCCAGAGGUCAUGAGUUCAAAUCCCAGCAACCACACGGUGGCUCACAACCAUCUGUAAUGGGAUCGGAUGCCCUCUUCUAGUGUGUCUGAAGACAGCGACGGUGUACCCACAUACAUAAAAUAAAUAA
ensembl:lncRNA